GGAAACGGCGACCGAAGGGUUUUGGUGUCGUCCAUCGGUACCGAAACACUCGAGGAUGGGAAGAAAGGGUGCGAAUGGCGGUGACGGAGGUUAGGGUUGCGGCGAUGGGAGAGAGAAAGGGAGUUGCCAUGGAAAUGCUCUUGAAGCGGCAAUUGAACAUGUGGAUUGCAAAAAACCUGAGGGGAUCCUGAUGGUAUAUUACAUUAGUAAUUACAUAGUUUUCAAUCUGAAUCUUAAACGAUUGCUGCUCGCAUUUCCGUUCUUCCUCUCUCUUUUCCUCGCCGUCUCUUCUCUGCUGCUUUGCUCAUUCGCUUCCUCCGGAGCCUUGUGAUGACGUUUUUCUGAAGGUUUCUCUCCGUCCUCUCCUUAAUCCUUUUGAAGAGGAACCAAUAAUAUUGUAGAAGUAUUAGCAAGCAUGGUGACAUUGCUACUAUAUGUUUGGAUCAUUUGGUCUUGAAACUUGAUUCAAAUUGUAAGAAUAACCUACAUUUGAGGCCAGUGCGAAGCCUCUGGCCGACUGUGGCGGUACAAUUUCAUGCCAGGUAUAGAAAAAGGGGUUAACUUACAAAGGUGAAGUGACUCAUAAAACCAUUUUUUGGAACUCUUUCAUGCCUUUUGAGCUUGUCGACCAUGCAUGAAGGAGAAAGAGUCGUAUUUGAGCUUAACACAAUUUUGUGCUGAAUUUUCUAUUUCCUUGCCAUAGUUAUGGUAGGAUUAAAUUUAUUGGACUUUAGUGUCCUCUCUGUUACAAACUGGAUUUCUUUUUCUUGUUAUCUUUGUUAUGUUCUAUGCCCUCUGACCAAUGCUCGUUUAUUGGACUUUAUUGUCCUCUGUUAUAUUUCCAUGUAAUUGGAGAUGGAUAAUCAAAUGGAGUAUGGAAUUGUGCUGGUUAGCUUGAGAACAAAAAAUCUAAGCUGGUUUACAAUUAGGAAACUUCAACUAUCUUUGUGUAAAACAGAGAAACCCCUCCGAACUCUAGCUUCACUUGGUAGAUUGACUUGGUUGAUACUAUGGUCAAGGGCGAUAAGACUUCGUUUUAGAAACUCCAGCAACUAGUUUUAAACAUUUUUGUACUGUAGGUUGCAUUUCUUAUGCACAAUACAAGUUGCCCUUAGCCAACAGGCUUAGAAAGGUAUGAGGUUGCUUUCUUUGUGAAAAUGGACAUCUAGCGAAAUGUUAGGUUUGGCUCAUACAGGAGGAAACUGUGAUCAUAAAUUUAGGUUAUUCAUUCCAUCGUGUGUAAAUUUUCAUUUUCAUUUAUACUGAAAUAUAUUUAGCUAUUCUUGUUUACAUGCUGCAUCGUGGCCCUUUCUUUUUGUAUUUGUUGAUAUUUAGUGCAGGUAAUCAGAUUGUGAGUGGGCAAAAAAUGCAACUUUAUCAUUCAUUGCUGAUACAUCCAAUUUAUUGACCGGAUUUCACAAUGAUUUGCUUGCACGUAUCCUGAGGCAACACAAGAGGAGAAGAUGCUUGAAGGAAAGGAAACACAAUUGUUUGUAAGCCUAUACCAUGGAAAUAAAGAUCGUGCUAAACAUAUUUUUCCUUGACCAGAAUAUUGUAAUUUUCAUGCAGCUGCGGUCGUCGUGCAAUAUGAAGAACAGUGAAACUAAAUGAUUGGCCUGCGCCUUCCGAGGAGUAUGAAUUAUUGGUGCGUUAAAGUAAUGGAAGAAUAUUAAGUGCGAGUGGAAAGCCAGCUUUAUAAAGAUGGCCUCUGAGCUGCCUGAUGCAUGCACCCUUCGCACCAUUAUCGGGAUACAGAUACGUUUCAUCACCUGGACCUUCGUCUAAUUAUUUCUCUUACUCACUAUAUAAUAAUACUUGUGUUGUGAUCUUACUUGAGGAUAUUUGACUUAAAUCACUGAAGCUAUAUUCAGAUUGAUGCUUAAUUUUCACCAGUUUUUGACAACUGCGUAACUCCUCAUACAGGUUGGUGGUGCUUACUUGGAAUGGUCUGUUUUAAAGAUGAUCCUUCCUUUUCUCAAUGGAUCUACGUAACAUUGGGGUAGCAUUGGGGAAAAUUGAUAGAGAAAUUUGCAGAAGGAUGACUUGAUCGGCCCUGUCGUUUGGGUGAAUUUUUUUAUGGUAAAGCAAGGGUACCCUCUUCGAGCCGUAGACUUUUGUAUAAGAGUUCAAGUUAGGAAUCAUCUUCGGACACGUGGUUAUUUGAAGCUUACAGGAAAGGUCCCUUCUGCCCUUCCAUUUUCUGGUUGUAUAUAAUUUUAAGAAGAAAAAGAAAAUCAUUUUUACUCCUUACUAUAAAUUUUUAAUUUCACUAAUUCGCAGUAAAU